rnacentral:lncRNA from 1 species
UUUAUCUACCGGAAAACAAUAGAAAGCGACAAAAAGUUGAAACUAGUAUAUCAAAACCGCACGAAAACUAGUAUAUCAAAGAGUUUUCGAGAUGACGUUUUGGAGAAGGAGAGUUCCAGAUUCGGUUUAACUGUUGGAUGUGGAAUGAGGAGGGAUCUAGAAGAUGUUGUUUCGGAGGGAUCUAGAAGAUGUUUCGGUAAAACCGCCGUUUUGUAAAAUGAAUGCUUCGAUUUGCUCUAAUCUACACUUUUACGGUGUGUUCGACGGCCAUGGCUGCUCUCAUGUAACAUCCAAAACCAUUAUAUAUAUUAUUGUU